AGGGAAAGGCAUCGCCUCCCAGCAAGUAGCCCUUCUGCCUGCUUGUCUUUGCUCUGCUCCUCGCCUGGCAGCACGGUGACGUGAUGGAGGUGACAAGCAGGGUGUUUCUGCUGAAUCAGUCUCUUUUCUUUUUGCAGGAGGGAAAAGCUGCUGCAAAACUUGCAAGCCAUAGCUUGGAUCCCGUCGUGCUGCUCACAGACAGCUGAUGUGCAGAGCUCGUUAGCACCAUGAAAUGUUGGCUGUCACUAGGGACCUGUCCUUCAGUGGCUGGGGGCACACGCAUCGGGGUGAAGCUCUGGGACCUCAGCCUGCACCAAGAGGCUGCAGUGAAAUUGUCUUGAGCGUAACCAAGUCACCAUGGGCACGGCCCAAAGAGUUCCUCCAGGAAGGCAAAGGAGCUUUGGAAAGAGGUUCUUAAGGGCUACUUGGGAUCCAGAUCCCUCUCUCAUGCUAUGCUAUGUUGAAGCCUCUAGGACAACAUUUUGGCCUGGAUUCAGGAAGCCUGUUAAGGAUUGCAGCCCAAAGAGGUUGGAGGCUGGGAUGGGCGAGAUGGAGCCGGGCUGGGAGCAGCCCAGUGUUGAGGUUGCAGGAGGCUGCAGGACCUUCCCAGCAGGACAACCACCGUGUCUGUCCGGUCCUCCAUCCAGCCCCGCCGUGUCCCGAGGGCUGCAGGAGACAUGAGCUCACUGCUGAGACGUGCCAAACCGAGCCCGCUGGGCGAGGCUGCUCCCAGCUCCACGCUGACAUCUGCCAGAGAUUUCCAGCACUGCUGCUUCUCUGCAGAGCACAGCCCCUGAGCAUCCCAACAUCCUGGUCUUCCUCUGGGCCAGAGGCAUCCACGUCUACAUCCCCAUCCUCACUGCUGUCACCAUCCCAGCCCACAUCAGCAUCCUGACACCUGAACUGGUUGCCAUAGAAACCACAGGUCUGUCUGUCUGCCCGUGCCAAGGGAUGAUGCUCUGCUUCCCCCUGGCACAACUAUUUGUGGUCCACGAGGGAAACAAGGGCAGAUUGGAGGCACGGAACAUCCCCACAAGGAGGAUGGUGCUUGCUGGGAGUGGAUGGGAAAGUGUAGCUCUGACAGAAGUUACAGCAUUUGGGACAUUAACGAAAGCUGGGAAUCAUUACAUGGCAUGACAGAAGGCAAAACGCUCACCUGGAGAACACAAUUAGCUCAGCAGGUCUUUUAGUACCAUUAAGGGAUUACUGUCCUGUUAUUACAUGCCCCAUCAUUAAGGGAUUAUUGUCUCAGUGGUCCCUUGACCUCCUGGGCAUGGCUGGAUGGUGCCACAUCAGACCUCAAAGAAGGUGUUGUUAGAGGGGUGGGGUGGUGAGAGUUGUCCUCUCCUCCAGAGACCACCAGCAGCUCUGGGAGGCGACUUUAGGAGGCAAACCUUCCUGUCCAGCUGGAGAAGUGGAAACCUUUCCUCAUCAUCCUUUCUAAAUGAGGCUUUUUUGGCUGUGCUUUAAUGAAAAGCUGAAACUUCAUGCAGCAAGCAAACGCCUCCUCCUAACUAUCUAUUCUGCUUCUCAUCCGAGUUGUUUCUGCAUAUUUUUCAGCAUACACGAGGUGUUUCUCUGCCCUAUUUCAAAGCAGGGGAAACUGAGGCACACAGCAGCUCUGAGAUACUCCCAUGAGAUCUCUCCUGUGCUGAGAUUCCCACAAAGAGAAAUCAAGCUAAAUGAUCAGGGAUGUGACCAGUUGAUUUGGUGUUCAAGGCCAAAGUGGGAUGGGGGGCCCUAGGAAGCCUCUUUUAGUGCUUGAUCUAGCAGUCUUCAACCCUGCCUACAGUGUGGAGGUUGGAAGUGGGCAAUCCCUUCCAACACAAGCCAUUCCAUGAUUUCCUGCCCACAUGGUCCUGUGGGCAACCCCAGUUGACCAUAUAUGGCCAACUCUCUGCUCUCCACCUCCUAUAAAAGAUGCUGGCUGCUGGUUUACUUGCUGCCAGCCCUCCUGGAGCUGUGCGUUCCUCAUUUCCCUUUUAGGAAGCAAGAUUCCUGGACAUAGGGCAGUAAAAAGAAAACAUCUCUCAGCUCUUAUUUAUCACCUCUCUUUAUAACUGACCACUCUCCAAAUAGAGGGACUGCUUGCAGACUGCUUACAGGAGUGCAACACAACGAAGCCAGAGGUGCCUUUGGCCCCUGCUGUCCUGGAUGGAUUUCCAUGCAGAUCUCCCCACCUCACUGCUAUUUAUGGGGUCAGCUCCAGGCAAGCAACCCAGCUGAAGUCCUGGUGCUUACUGCUCACUGGCCAAGCCAAACAACGGAGUGAUGCAAUAUUGCACAAACUUUCCAACCAGGGAAAUUAAUCUUUGCAAUAGAAAAAAGCAAAAAAAGACAGCUCAGGGUGUCUGUCUUGGAGGGGAUGUCUGUUAGAUGGGCUCAGCACAUGUUGUUCUGGCUGCUUCCGCUGAACUCUGCUGCUGCUGAGGUCAGUCUUGCUGUGGGUUUGCUCAAGUCCUGGUGCUUCUCCCUGAGCUGCUGGAGCUCAGGGGGUGCUGGGACCUUGCUCUCAGCCAUAGGGUUUGGGUGGUGCUGUGUGGAGCCAGGGGUUGGACUCUGAUCCUUGUGGGUCCCUUCUAAUUUGGGAUGUUCUGCAGCUGUGUGCUUCUAUCAUUCUAUGAUUCUAAGGUAGAGGUGGGAUCUUCAGGUGGAAGAGUCUUUUCUGGAUGAUCGUGUGCUACAGAUUUGGGAUCCACAUGAACUCUUUUUGCACUGCAGCAGUGAUUCCUCAGUUUAAGCUCAGUGCACGUGAUGAGGAUCCGCUCCCUUUUCAGCCUGGACCUGCCCUACUCUCAUCCCAUUUGGUGGGGCAUUGGGUUCCUAGCUCUGGUUGUCUUGAUGGAUGGAUGGGAUACUGAAGAGACGUCCCUGCAAGUUGGAUGGGACCCUGGGCAACCUGAUCCAGUGGCUGACAGCCCUGCUUGCAGCAGGAGGUUGGAGCUCAAUGAUUUUCAAGAUCCCUUCCAACCCAAGCCGUUCUACAACUCCCAACCAAACCAUUCUAUAAUCCCAACCACUCCUGGUUUUGCAGCUCCGUUCAAACCCCGCUCUGUCAGCACUCUCACACGAGCUGCCACCUACCUUCAAACCUUCUUUCACCCUUCUCUGCAUCUUCCCCUAAACCCUUAAUGGGCCAAAAGACCACUCGUGCGUUAUCGGCGCUUUGGAAAACCCCGGGCAGCGCACGUGGCUGCCGGCUGCCGCUUCAUUGCCUCUCUGAUCCCUUACAUAACCAGUGACACUGUUUGUUUUUCCUUGCUGACUUUUUCUGUGUGUGACUCCCGCGUUCGCUGCUCUUAAAGCCGCUUAUAAUCACUCUAAAGCCCCAGCUUAGCCAGGCACCGCUCUGGGUCCUGAGCGACUUGCUGAGCUGCCUCCUUCGCUCCCUUGCAUGAAGAUUUCUUUCCCCCUUGCUACUUCCAGGUCCAGCAUUUUUAUGGCUCCUCCCCUGCACAGCAGUUCUGAUUUGGGAUCUGCGGCUCAUAAGAUGGCCCAAAGCCUCUUGAGUUGGUUGGCCAAUGUCUUGCUCAUCUCCUGGUGGGGCGACUGACUUAUUACGUGAUCUGACAGUGAUGGGACAAAGGGUUUAAGCUGAAAGAGGGGAGAUUUAGAUUAGGUGUUACGUAGAAAUUCUUUACUCAGAGGGCAGUGAGGCCCUGGCACUGCUGAUCAGAUAGCUGUGGGUACUCCAUCCCUGGAGGUGCUCAAGGUCUGGUUAGAUGGAGCCCUGGGCAGCCUGAGCUGGAGGGAGGCAACCAGCCCACUCAUCUUCACAGUGUUAUUUUGAUAAGGAAUAACCUAUGCUGUUCUUCUUUUGUACAACAUUGUUCUCUAAAACCUCUGUUGCAUUCUGUGUGUACACACACACUCAACAGAUGCACACAUCUGCCAUCAGAUUUCCUGCUAAAACACCCCCAGCUAAAAUCCCAGCUAUUUCUCAGUCUGAUUUCACUCUUGCUAAGCCAGAUUAGGAGUUUAUGGAUCUUGUUGAAACUUCUUCACUUCACAGGAUGAAUUUUUAUCCCUGGCAGAAGACUGCCCUGCUUUCUGUGUUGAUUCUGGCGUCUGCACUGGAAAGCAAAUAAAGUAAGUCGAGUCGGAUAUUAGGAAAAAUGUCUUCCCUGAAUGAGUGAUACUGGAACAGGCAGCCCCAGGGCAGUGGUGGAGUCACUGUCCGUGGAGGCUUUCUAGAAAAGGGCAGAUGGAACAUAGGGAUGUGGUGGGUAUGGUGGUGAUUGCUUGGCGGUUGGACUUGAUGAUCUUAGUGGCCUUUCCCAGCCUUAAUGAUCCUGUGAACUUCCAUCAGCCCUGAGGCAAAAGCGGUGCCUGAGCUUUGCAUUUUCUCCAGAAGAGCCCAACCUCUUUGUUUCAGGAGCAACACAUCUGGGAUCCAGCAACAGCCAUUGAUUGCUCUAUAGUGAGUGAGGACCAACACAGUUUAUGGCAGCUGAGGUGUUCUUGCAGUGCCCUGCUGCUCCUAAACAUUUCCAACUGAUCGGAGGAGCCAUCCAAAUUUUCUUUGUUUCUCAUUGAUUGGUGGUAAAGACGGGCUGGUAAGCCUCUGUGCAGCCUCCAGCUGGUUCAGGUUGAUGCCCACACCUGGAAACACUGUGCCACAAGUAACCCAAGUCCUUCCCUAUAUAAUUCAACAAAGCACGAGGUGAAACAAGGGAAGCUUUUUUCCCCAGACCACUCUCACAGUGGUGGCUCCACGGGCUCAUCUUGGAGGGCAGCUUUCCCCUUUGUGAUGCUAAACAACUAGGAAGGAAUAAUCAAAUUAUAUCCACCCAAUUACCUGAAUGAGGGCAUCAAGCAUCCCAUAGAGAGUUGUCCCUUGCUGCUUUGCGAAGGCCAUCGCAUUCAUUCAGGCUGGCAAAACUCCUCUCUGGGUUUCAGACGACGCCAUAUGAGGACUAGUGAUGCUUGGGCACAGGUU